UACGUAGGGGGCAAGCGUUGUCCGGAUUUAUUGGGCGUAAAGAGCGUGUAGGCGGCCUGAAAGGUCAGCUGUGAAAACUCGAGGCUCAACCUCGAGACGUCGGUUGAAACCAUCUGGCUAGAGUCCGGAAGAGGAGUGUGGAAUUCCCGGUGUAGCGGUGAAAUGCGCAGAUAUCGGGAAGAACACCGGUGGCGAAGGCGGUUCUCUGGGCCUGUUCUGACGCUGAGGAGCGAAAGCGUGGGGAGCGAACAGG
rnacentral:rRNA from 1 species